GAUGAACGCUAGCGGCAGGCUUAACACAUGCAAGUCGAACGGCAGCACAGGUAGCAAUACUGGGUGGCGAGUGGCGCACGGGUGCGUAACGCGUAUGCAACCUACCUCUAUCUGGGAGAUAGCCCGAAGAAAUUCGGAUUAAUACCCCAUAAUAUAUGUCUUUCGCAUGUUAGACAUAUUAAAGCUUUGGCGGAUAGAGAUGGGCAUGCGUGACAUUAGCUAGUUGGUAAGGUAACGGCUUACCAAGGCUACGAUGUCUAGGGGGUCUGAGAGGAUUAUCCCCCACACUGGUACUGAGACACGGACCAGACUCCUACGGGAGGCAGCAGUGAGGAAUAUUGGACAAUGGGCGAAAGCCUGAUCCAGCCAUGCCGCGUGCAGGAAGACGGCCCUAUGGGUUGUAAACUGCUUUUANAUGGGAAUAAACCUCCGAACGUGUUCGGAGCUGAAGGUACCAUACGAAUAAGGAUCGGCUAACUCCGUG
rnacentral:rRNA from 1 species